CUCUCCACAGCGCGCAGCGGGCGUGCAGCAGGUGCCGGCAAGCCCGCCCCGCCGCCAGCGCCUCGACAACAUGGCCGCGAUCGCUUUCCUCGCUUUCCCCGCUGCCCACGCAGCCCCCGCCCGACGCUCCGUGACACGGGGGCCCCGUAGAAUCGGAGUGGGAAGCCGCGCCCCAGCUUCGCUCACGACCGGCGGCGGCGCCUCCGCCCAACUUCGCGCCGAGUUGCGUGCGAGCCAGGCCCCGCUCCGCCGGCGGCUCCCCCCGACGCCGCCGCCACCCCGCGAGCAGCCUGACUCAUAGCAGUGGGGAGCGGGGGGAGGAGCGGGGCGUCUGCAAGCGGGCAGCGGCUCCGCCCGGCCCGGAGCACGGCGUGCGCUCACCGUCAACCCUCCUCCCGCAGCGGGGCGAGCGCGAAGCCGCCACGCGACACCCCCCUACCCGCCCAGCACCCACCGAGCACUUUCUUCUCCGUCUCCCCUGCGGCGGCGGCAGCGGUGGUAGCGGCCGCGGAGCCGGACGCGGCGGGUGCCACCUCGCCGCCCGAAGCUCCCGGCGCGGCGCCGCUGACGGGGCUCUUGGGCUUGACGUCCGGAGGGGCGGCAGCAGGGGGCGGCGGCGGCGGCGCGGGGGCAGCUGCGGCGGGCGCCGUGCCGCUAGCGGUGCCGGUCUCCGCCGCCUCGCUCAUAUUGGUUGGCAGCAGGACGGGUGCGCGGCGCUGAGCAGCUGUUCCUCGGGCCCGCGCUGGGUCUUACUGCCCCUAAAAUGGCCCCGCCGAAGUUUUAACACAGUCAGCGGGGGCCGGCGCCGGGAAUUGCGCCGCCUCAUUAGCAUUUAAAGGGGCCGCACCGUGGUCGCGGCUGGACCGGGUGAGCGGGGGACGGCGUGGGGAUCGGCCCGGGCGAGGUGAGGUGAGGAGUCCCUCUGUGCGUGAAGUUGUGGAUAGAUGCAUACGCACACACGGCUGCAGUCGAGAGUCCGAGAUGUCAGUAGGCGCGUGGCCGUGCGUUGCUGCUCGCUCCCACGCGUGUGCAGGCAGACGCGUGCCGGUGCUCUGGCGGCGGUGCCUGUGAACACGGCUGUGCGCGUCUGCCCCGUGCUCUGCGUGGCGGAACAGCUCGUUUUGGACGUGAGUUCGAGUGCGCUCCUCUGGAGCCAAACGUCUCGAUGAGUUUGCCACAUAGCCGUUGUUUGUUAUUGCCUCUGCCCUGUGUCCUUCGUUCCCUACAAGGCAAUGUACAUCAACUGAAAAGGGAGUUGUGCACAUACCAAAAAAAUUGAUGAUUUUUUUGGCAGUCUUUGGCAAUCUGAAAUGUAUCCUCAAAUUCUGUUAUGAGGAUGGAAAGCAUGGCUGCAUAUACACUGCUGACAGGACUGUCUUCAACCAAUGUCUCGAAAUGCAUCAAAUGUGCCAGAACUUAAGCUUGCCAGCAUUUAAUAUUCAUUUCAGACUCUGUUACAGUUUGAAACAUAGCACAUGUAAGUUGAUUUUCACCAUGAAGAUGCACGCUUAACUCAUUUAAAUGAGUGGUCAAAUCCACCAAAAAACAUAUUACAAAUUAUUUUGUACUUUUUUUGUGAUCUUGUUGAGACUUUGAACAUUAUAAAAUGUGUCGGCACCCUACGGGUAUUCCAGAUAUUUCUUCCACAGUAAACGUGUUAACUUAUUAAAUUAUCUUACAAAAUAACACAAGCUGUAGUUUGAUAAUUAAAUAAGAAAACAUACGUGUCUGCAUGUACAACAGUCGCAUAUCUUCCUGGGUACACACAUGUGCAGGUAGAUUGCAAUAUUAUUAUCAGCAAUCACAGUGUUUUACUUAGCAAGUGGCACAAGCACACCUAAUAUGCCAUACAUGGGGAUUUUGAUGCGACUGAAUGUGUGUGGUGGGUGCAAGAGGCAGAGUUAGCCCCUGUGCUGCACCCCCCCCUCCACAGUGUUCCAUUGCUGCCUAUGCAGCCCAUGCUUGAGCUAUGCACGAUGGGCUCUUGAAAAAUAUUAGUAAAAAUCACACAAUAAUGUUAAAAUUUUACAAUCUUCUGGGGCCACAUGAAUAGCUGUCCAGAUCUGCAUGUGGUCUGUGGGCCAUAGGUUGAACAUGCCUGCUGUAGGGUAUGAUUUAAACUGUGUGAAGCUUCCCCUACUGACACUCUUCAAGAAUUGCCAUCCUGACUCUGAUGAAUGUUAGAGCCAAGGGAAAAACACGCUGCCAUACAGUAAUGCAGACUCUCCCACAACUGCAAGCAGGCAGACUUAGCUACUCAAGAGACUGAAAAUAAACUCACGAGCUGUUUUGAUUCAAAAUGCUGUCAAAGCAUUAAGAGGUAUUUCCACUCACACAGGUGUCAAAGCUCCUAGCUCAUUAACUCCAUUUUCUAAAUCCUGGAUGGAAGUUGUUAUUACGGUUUCUAUAAUUUCACCCCUCUGUACACAUGAAACAAAAAGAUCAUUUUUGUCCCACAUUCUUUAAUCCUUCACUCUGUGUUCAUUUUCUUAUUUUAUGCUACCUUGUGUACUUCUACAAGGUACUGAAAAAAAAUCCUGAGGAUGCUCAUUUGAAUAAAUUUUUAAAGGAAAGUCUUUGUGCCACUGAUCGUCACCCUGUGGGCUUGGCCCUUCAGCCAGUUUUCUCUCCACUUUGGUCUGUUCACGUGGCUCACGUAUCAUUAACUUCUCUAUAUGGAUCUUUUUGGAGACAGUGUCCAAGGCCUUACUAAAUGAAGUCCAGGAAGACAAUAUCCAGUGCUUUCUCUUCGUUUACUAGGCCAGUCAUUUCAUCAUACAAGGUUAUCAGAAUGGUCAAACUUGUCUUCCCUUUGGUUAUUCCUGAAAGACACACUUGUCCUUCACAUGCUUUCCAGGAUUACCUGCUCUACCAGUUUUCCAGGGAUUGAGUUGAAUCUGACUGACCUGUAGUUUACUGGGAACUCCUUCUUGUUCCCCUUGAAGACAGGAGUGAUAUAUGCUUCCCUUCUGUCUUUGAGCUCUUUAAUACAUCACCAUUAUCAAUCAAGGAUUAUCAAGAGAUCUUGCAGUGACAUCUGUCAGGUCCCUCAGGGCUCAUAGGUGUAUCUCAUCAGGGCAUGUUAUGUAUGUCCAGUGUACUUCAGUGUUCUCUGAUAUAAUCCUCCCUAAAAAGGUAACGUAUUCCUUGUUCCAGCAUUCUCCCAGACUCAGAUCUGGGAUUAACCAAGGCCAGUCUUUCUGGUAAAGACUGAGGCAAAGAAAGCAUUCAGUAUCUCAGUAAUUUCCAUGUCAUAUAUAACCAGGUGCACUGUCUCCUUCAGCAUUGGUCUAUUCUGCAUUCUGUCAUUGAUGUACUUAUAGAAACCCCUCUUGUUUUCUUUGACAUCCCUGCUCAGAUUCAGUUCCAGUUGGACUUUGUUAUUCCCAGAUACAAACACCAUUUCUCUGUAUUCUUCCUUGGUUACUCAUCCAUGCUUCUAACCUCUGUAUGCAUUCUCUUUGUGUUUUGAGUUUGGUCUGGAGCCUCUAGUUCAUCCACACAGGCCUCCUCACAUUUUUGCCUGAGUUCCUGCUCAUUUGGACAGACGCUUUGACUUUGCAGGAGGUUAUUAUUGAAUAUUUGGCAGGUUUUUUGGAUCAUUCCUCCCUCAAGGGUUUAUCCCACGAGAUCUUACCAAGAUGAUCUUUGAAGAAGCCAAAGUCUGCUCUCCUAAGUCCGGUGUUGUGAUUUUGCUUUUUGACCAGCUUCUUCUUCUCAGAAAUUCCACUAUCUCGGUAACUGCAAUGAAGUCUGCCUUCAACCUUUGCAUCCCCAAUGAGCCCUUUCUUGUUUGUAAGUGUACAGUCUAGCAGAGCACCUGUCCUCAUCUCCUCCUUUAUCACUUACAUUAGGAAGCUGUCAUCAGUGUUCUUCAGGAACUCCUGAAUUCUUCAUGCCCUGCUGUAUUGUCCUUCCAACAGGUAUGGGGCAUGUUUAAAGACCUCUGUGAUUGCCAGGGCUUGCCAAUGGGUACUACUUCUAGCUGACUGUAGGCCUCAUUCACUUGUUCUUUCUGGUCAGGUGGCCAGAUCAUCUGUAUUUGCAGUCUGUAGUGGCAGACUUCAACUACAAUGUCACCCAUACUGGUUUGCUCUUUAAUUCUGUGUUACUCACAUCUUGUGUUGGUUCCUUAUCCAUUCCCAGGCAGAACUCCAGGCACACCAACUCCUCUGUCACAUCAAGGGCGACUGUACCACAUUUUUGCAGCCUGUCCUUCCUAAACAGUCUGCAUCCCUCCAUUGAAACACUCUAGUCAUAUGAGGCAGCCCACCAUAUGUCUGUGAUCCCCGUGAGACUAUAGCCAUGCAAUUGCAUGCCUCUAAUUCCUUGUGUUUAUUCCCCAUGCUGCAUAUAUUAUUGAUCAAGCACUUCAGAGUGGCACCUUAUAUCCUGAUUUCUUAGAAAUGGUCUGUUGGGAUUUUUAUCUUCCAGUGGGGUCCAUUAAUAGAAGAAACUGAAACCGUGUGGUAAAUGCCAGUUCUGCAACCAGUAGUUGAUAUAGUCCCUUCCUCCUCCUCAUACUGUUCCCCCUUUCUGGCUGGAUGGAGGAUCACCAAGUCCUUGACCAUCACCUCAAAAUGAACAGAUGAUGCAUUUUUAUAAAAAAAAGAACUCCAGGGCAUUUCUAAAAAUUAUUUUCUUUCUUAAUUCAUAGAUCCAUAGCACAUCAACAUCUUUCUAAUACUGUAAGUUGGGGGAAAUGUCAAGCUAAAACAUGUAGUUUUAAUUGCUCGUAAUUUGACCAAACUGUAAUGGCUUGGACUGAAAUUCAUAAUUUUUGUGUGAAAAGUUCAGCAGAAGAUACUCAGCUCUGAAAAAAAAGAUGAGGUUAAAAUACUUUGCUUUCUCUCAUUUUAAAUUGAUUUAAGGCUUGUCUUUGUAAGUUACAGUGACUCCGUGUUUUUGAAUGGAAAGUUGAAAUUUAGCUGUGUUAGACGUAUAUAUUUCCUACAUGAGAAGAAAACAAAGUCCACCGGACUAUUAGCAAUCACAUUUCUCCAGGUAGUUUCCUUCUGAAAAAACACUUAGCACAUGAAGAAUAGCAACUUGUGGAGUCGAGCUGAAAAAUUACCUGAAGCUGCUGUGUGGAGGUACACUGAGUGUGUUGUUUGAAUUCUAUGUCAACCAUGCAAGAUCACUAUAGGACACCGUAUGGGAACUGUUGAAUCAUGGCCUGAACCUCUGAUUGACCACCUGAGGCAAGCACUGAGUCAGCCGUGGGAGCACAGGUGAAGGCAGUUCACCUGUGUGACUGGAAGGGGUGAGGCCUGGCUCCACCUCUCCUAGACCCUAUUUAAGGGCUGACUGCCACUAAGGAAGGAUUUCUCUCUGGAGGUUGCUCCUUGUGAAGUGUUCUGUGAGCCUACAACACUCGUGAGCACUUUCAUUGAGCACUUUCAUUUAUCUAUGAUUCUCUUUUCCAAUGUGAUAAUCUUACUAAGCCUAACUUCUCCGUAUACUUAUUGAUCAUCCAAUACUUUGCAACAUCUGUAUUCUUAUUGACCUUACAGACACUGGUGGGCCAUCCACAGCUGAGCAGGUCAUUCUUACAAUUGCAGUUCCUGUGUGUCACUGUGGUACAAGUCACCAAUUUUUGGAGCUAGAAUUCUGUCCCUGUUACAUGCCUUCUGAUGACCAGGUUACAACAAAAGCAGAAGCUGGCUAGGGAGCAUAGGCUCCAGGGAGUGCAAGAACAGGGCUUGCCAGGAACUGAAACAUCCAGGAUGAUGUUUGUCAGCAGGAGAUUAAAUACCAAAGCAGCAGCCAAGAUAAAACUGCGGCUUAAAGAGCAGAGGAAAAGGACUGGCAGCAAACAAAAAGAGAUGGAGGAGCUAAGAAAGAGUAAGGAGGCGUGAAGGUGAUGAGUUGAUGGUGAGUAAGUCAGAGAAGAAGAAGAAGCACCCUUCUCACAGCUCAGGAUGCUGUGGUUCAGUUAUCACCUUGGAGCAGUCCACUGGCCUUGUUUAGUGUCCUGUGUGCUUUGCCUGCUGUUACUUCAGAUCCUCAAGUGGAAGGUUUCUGAGCUGAAGCACUGGAGAACCAGGCUCUGCUUCCCACACAUUGUAGUUGGAGUGGCUGUGUGGGACAAAAGUGCUACCCCCCAGUAUGUUCAGGUCUUACUCUCAGGAGGGAACUGAAACACGUUUUGCAAAAGACACUGAAGCUGCAAAAUUAUGCAAGGAAAAGUUAAGAGAUACUAGAACUGAGAUUACUUUUAAGCUUGAAGUUCAGCCCCAAUUUGUGUAGAGAUAAUUAUACGUUUCUUAGUUAGAUGAUCACACCUUCCUCUUCUCUCAGAAUCCUGCCUUUUUCAGUGAGUGAGCUGCUUCUCAGGGAUCCCUUUCAGCCUCCACUCAAUGUGCAGAUCAAGUUAUUAUUUAACGUAUAUCAUAUAACACUUAGAAUAGAUACAGAAUUUACUGGGGCCGCUUCUAUUUAACAUCUUUAUUAAUGAUCUUGAUGAGGAGAUUGAGUGCACCCUCAGUAAGUUUGCAGAUGACAUCAGGUUGGGAGGGAGUGUUGAUCUGCCAGAGGGGAGAAAGGCACUACAGAGAGACCUGGAUAGACUGGAUUGAUGGGCCAAGGUGAACUGUAUGAGUUUCAAAAGGGCCACGUGUUGGGUCCUGCAUUUUGGUCACAACAAUCCCAGGCAACCCUACAGGCUUGGGAGUGAGUGGCUGGAAAUCUGCCUGACAGAAAGGGGCCUUGGUGUACUGAUGGAUAGUCAGCUGAAUAUGAGCCAGCAGUGUGCCCAGGUGGCCAAGAAGGCCAAUGGCAUCCUAGCUUGUAUCAGGAAUAGUGUGGUGAGCAGGACUAGGAAAGAAAUCCUGCCCCUGUACUCAGCAUUGGUGAGGCCUCACCUUGAGUUCUGUGUUCAGUUUUGGGCACUUCAAUACAGAAAGGACACUGAGGUGCUGCAGCAGGUCCAAACAAGGGCCAUAAAGCUUGUGAAGGGCUUGGAGAAUAUGCCCUACGGGGAACGACUGAGGGAACUAGGGCUGUUUAGUCUGGGAAAGAGGAGGCUGAGGGGAGACCUUAUUGCUCUCUUCCAGUAUCUGAAAGGUGCGUACAGCAAGAGUGGAGUUGAUCUCAUAGGUGACAGGAUGAGGAGAAAUGGCCUCAAGUUGCACCAGGGUAGGUUUAGGUUGGAUAUCAGAAAAAACUUCCUUACAGAAAGGGUUGUUAAGCACUGGAAUAGGCUCCCCAGGGAGGUGGUUGAGUCACCAUCCUUGGAUGUGUUUAAAAACCGUUUGGAUGUGGUGCUUAGGGACAUGAUUUAGUGGAGGGUUGUUAGAGUUAGCAUUGUAUGGUUCGGUUGUAGUUGGACUUGAUGAUCUUUAAGGUCUUUUCCAACCUGAGCAAUUCUGUGACUCUAUGAUUCUACUUGUACCUUUCUUUGGGAUCCUGCAGGGCUUUUACUGCUGUGUAUCCAUGGUUCUCAAGAAUUAACUAAUGCAUUUUAACCACCGUUCUGAAGAUGGGGAGCUGAGGCAAAAAGAGACUACUGCUACUGUUUUCAACUAUCUACUGAUUCUGCGUAGUUGCUUGAACACAUGUAUAUUUCUAUCCCAAGUAACUUGCUGUUUCUACAAGUUGGGUGGGACAUGAAACACCUGAAUGAGGCUGGGACAUGUGGCACAGGAACAGAGGAGGUUCAUACCUUCAGAUGGAGGCUAGGCAAGAUACUACCCUAAAGCACAAGUGCCGUUACACACUGAAUGACGUAUACUGUUUACACAAAGCAGAGUUUUGGCUACACCUAGAAGCAUGCAAGGCUGAGGAGAGCAGGGUAGCCCCUGGGUAUGCUGAGGAAAGGUUGUUCAUAUCCUGACACCAGGGAAGGUUGCUUUUGCAGAUCCUGAGUGAGAGAUGUCUUGCUGCCAUAUCAGGCUGGAAGCUUGCCCUUCUUGUAGAGUUGCACUUUGAACCCCAUCUUUUCUCUUGCUCUUUCACACUGUUGAGUAUAGGUUAUCAUUCAUUGUGUGCAGUGAGUUUCUCUCCUCAGGUUACUGAUUCUUCCAGUGCUCCAUGUGGGCUCCCUGGGGAGCUGCACUCCAUGUUUUGGAUCCCCCAGGUACCUGCAUUCAAUUCAAAAAUACUUUGUGAUUUUUAUGACAAAUAUUACACUUUACCCACGGGGCUCUCUUUCAUGAUUGUGGCCUCUCAAGUCCUAUUAUAACCUGAACAUCUGUGUUUGCAUUCCUUUGUACAGAACUUGCUUACUCCAAGCUAGCUGUGGAAAUGGUAUUGCUUUAAACAUAAAUAAUAAAAGAGAUAAAUAAUCAUAAUUUCUUUUUAAAAAAUUAAGAUUUUAAAUCAAUCUCCAUGAUUUUUGAGUUAUGGGAAUUUAUAGUAGUGUGACAUAAGAAUUCUAGAUCAGAUAGAUAGAGUCUCUUUGAUUUGAAGAUAGAGUCUAUUUGAUGAAUACCAUUUUCUGCUUUUAAAGUUGCUUUUUAGGGGCCACAGUUUCUACUGCAGAGUCUAAGAGGAAAAUGGGAGUUGUGAAGAUUUUGCGUAGUAUGUGGUAUGCAGGUUGAGCUAACAAGUUUUGUAGUUAGAAAAUGCAGUGUUAAAUGAAGCUGAAAUAUCUGAAGAUAUAAAAUAACUUCUGUAAUGUAUUUCUUGGAAAAAAAUUAUGACUUUCAAUAAAGUGGAAUGGUUUUGUUUCAACAGUUGCAGAAAGUAAUAUUUAAAUACAGCAUAUCCAGAUGAUUUCAUGAACAGAAAUUAUUUUCUGUAAUACAAAUAAAAAAUAUUUUUUUAGUAGUAAGCAGCAUUUUUCUGGGGACAUGUUUCAUAAAAUGCAGGAAUUAAGAAUUACCUCUUUUUCUUCCAGUUUUGGAAAAUAGACAUUCAAAGAUGAAGAACUGACUUUAAAAUGGAAAAUCUUCCCUGUUCUAGUUGGAAAUAUUAAAUGUCUGCAGGACACAGCAGAUGAAGGCAAAAUGCUGCUUCACCAGCCUGUGUUCAGAAUACUUUUUAGUAAAGAUGUCAGAGAGAAACAAAGAAUAUCUAACGAAUAUUCCACAUUGAAGCUAUGGCAGUCUCUUUUGGAAAGUAUAACAAAGUUUCAGUGGCAGGAAAGCAAAAGACUCCAGUAGUCAUUUUUCCUUGAUCUUCAUGUUGUCCUAUAAGAAUCUCCAAGCCCACUCUGAGAAACUUGAUACUGAACAUGGGAAUUUUUUUUCCCCAGUAGACAAUUUGUCAGAACACAGUGAAAUUGGAUUACAUUCAUCAAUGUAUUUACCCCAAAUAAAAUUAACAAAGUACAUAAAAAUGUUAAAGAAUUCAUUUGAAUGUGCUAAAUGACUGUGUUGGUAGUCUACAUACACUGCUUCAGCAUGGCGAAUGAAGAACAGUCCAUCACAAAGCAGCCCAUAGCUUCACACUGUGCUAGGAAGCGUUGGAUCAAAGGGCUGAUGUGUUCUACCAGAUGAUGUGCUUCAAAUUUGGUUGCAGUAUCUGAGAAUUAUUGCCUAUAAAUAAUGUUGGAUACUUCCAGAUGGAGGGACUUUAAUGGGCUGUUAGUAUUUCCAUCAGGAGUUGUGUGUAACAAAAUGCAGAAAAGCUUAUGAGCAAAGUCAUUUUGACUCUCUGGAUAUCUCAGAAAUACCAAGAACCUGAUUGCAGGCCAGAGUUGAAAGGCACACACUUGAGAAAAAGCUGCUGCUUCUAGACAGUAAGAAUUUCUUUGCUAGGAGAUCAAGGAUCAGACAAAUGGUCUGCAAAGACUGCAGAAAAUUCUCUGUUGACAGGCUUACAUCUAAAAAACUUAGAUUAGUUCCCAAGUCUGUCAAAAACUGGGUAGUUGACAAGGCUAAAAUAUAAUAUUGUACUGCUGUGCUGGUGUGCCUUUUAAUGAAGAAACUGAGGAAGGAACUUAGCACGAGCUUGCUAGAGUUGUUCUUAGGUUCACUCAGUUAUCGGAAUGUCUCUGUUGACCUACUGCCCUCACUCAGCUUCCCUGUUUUGAACUAUCCUUCAGAAGAGGGCUCAGCUCAAUGCAGAAGCUUAUAUUCCAGGAUAAUUCAUACCCUACUCUACAGUGGAGUAUUUUCAAACCAUGUUAAAAGAAGUGCAAGCAUUAGUGUGCACAGACUAAAGAAGUCACUGUGUUAAUUUUCUAGAAGUAGAACAUUAAAGCCAACUGAACUGCACAUCCAUCCACUGAACCUUCUUGUGUGUCUUUGGCUCCUUUCUAAGCUACUAAGUAGUAGCUAACACAGGGAAAGCCUGUUCCCCUACCUGUGACCUCCUGUGUCUUGUCCUUGCCGCAGGCACAGAAUCCAUCCUUUCCUUUUGCCCUAUCUAAAUCUGCAUUGGCUUCAUCCUCCGUUCCGUCUGUGCGGAUGCUCCCUUCUAUCACUUGUCCAGCCAAGGCUUCAUGCAGUGUCACAUGGAUUAAUGUUACAUAAAGUGAAUUCACAAUAGAAUGUGUUUUCCUAACUGAGUAUUAAGUAUAUCCGGAAGGUCUUUAUCAAAGGGAGGAAUCCAUUCACUCAAGCACUGAACCGUGAGGCGACAGUCAUGCUGGUUUGUUUCCAUAUAUUUUUUUUAAUUUACCAUUUUGAAAACACUGGAUGAAUGCCAGCUGAUGGCUCUAAACAAGGUAACAAGGUGUCUACAGGCUUGAGCUCUGUGAUUCUCCUCUAGUCAGGGGCUGCUCUUGAGAGACAACUUUUCUCCUAUUUCUCAGAGCCGGGUCCCAGCAAUGGUAACAAGUACACAAGUAUCCUUCCUACUUACUUGAAAAGGAGCUUAGCCCUUAGCAAGAAUAUUUGGCAUCUAUGAAACGUCAAGAGGCUGGAAAACUGUAGUGGUUUUCUUAUUGUUGUGUAAUUUCAGUGGUAUAUUUUUGUUCACAUUUUGAAAAUAAACAUUUCACAGUAAUUUC